GACGAACCGUGCGAACGUUGUUCGGAAUCACUGGGCUUAAAGCGUGUGUAGGCGGAUGUCUAAGUACCUUGUGAAAUCCCACGGCUCAACCGUGGAACUGCUUGGUAUACUGGACGUCUUGAGCCAGCUAGGGGCUACCGGAACAAAUGGUGGAGCGGUGAAAUGCGUAGAUAUCAUUUGGAACGCCAAUGGUGAAAACAGGUAGCUGGGGCUGUGCUGACGCUGAGACACGAAAGCCAGGGGAGCGAACGGG
rnacentral:rRNA from 1 species